rnacentral:lncRNA from 1 species
UGGGCUGAGGGGCCUCCGAGUGCCUGGGGACACGCGGGGACCUCGGGGACACACACAGAGACCUCGGGGACACUCCCUGCCACAGCCCCAGGUUCUUCCCCAGGAUUUGGGUGCCGGGUGAAGCAGCCUGCAGGGCUGGGCCCCGCUCCAGGGAACAGCACUGCAGCUGAGAGCCCGGCCGAGCGGGCAGAGCAGUGCUGGGAAUAUCAAUCAGGGAGCCUUGGAGCGGGCGGCUUCACACACAGCCAGGGCUUUCAUCCCCCAGGAUCCACAGCUCGGCCGGCAGAGCCAGCCAGGGGCUCAGCCCUGCGCUGGGAGGGCUCAGCAUCCCUCUGUACUGGGGCCAGCACGGUCAGGAGAGACUGGGGAAAGCCAGGGAGAAGGGAGAGAUCAGGAGAGAGGGUGGAGAGGAGCAGACACACUUGUGAAAUAAGUGGGAAGAUUUGUGGGGGGAAAAGGAGGAGUUCCCCAGAUCCAGGCCAGGAAAGGCCAAUGCUGGCUCCAAGGGCAUCAGGCAGGGGAGAGGCUGAGGCUGGGAGAAGGGAGAGGAAGAGGAGGGCAGGGAGGAAUGGCAAGAUUGGAGCUGGGCAGUGCUGGAAGUGGACAGCCCCAGGCAUGGAGCACAGGCUAGGUGAGCCUUCAAGGGAGAAAGGACGAGGUCCCCAGAGCUGGUGGGGCUCAGGACUGGCAGGCAGGAGAGACCCAGUGACCUCCUCGAUGGUUUAGGGACAGUAUCCAUUAUCUCCUUGCAGACGCUGCCUACAAAGCUGUCACCUGGCCAAGGCUGCCCACCCUGCUGUCACCUGCUGUCACUGUGUCCGUCCCACUGCCACCCUCCCCACAACACAGCCUGUGCACAGCCCUGCACCCCUCUCCCUGAGGCUGUGCACCCCCUGUGCCACCUCCUGCCACAGUCCAGGCUGCACAGUCCCCACUGCCUCCUCCUUGGGGAUGGGAGCUGUACCCUGCCCCGUGCCACCUUCCCCCUGGGGGAGAUUCCAG